UGCCAAGCUGUAUGCAAGAUC
rnacentral:misc_RNA from 1 species